GUUCCUCUCCAAAAAAACCCAGGAGAGAGCCAGGGCCAUACAGAGCAGUGCUGCCCUGCUCGAAUUUGCCACAUGCCUGCCUGGAUUUGAGGGCUGAACAUCAGAGAGGCAAGAGAGCUGUGGUGUCGGGACGGGCUCCAGGACACCGAGCGCCUGGGCUAUAGGAACAUGGCCAGGAUGUGGGGAGAUCUCAGCCGCUCAGCAGAAUGUGGGAGAGCCGAGUGCUGAUGGGCUAGAGGUGUCCCAUGAGUCGCUGUACAGCAGGUGCAGUGUCGGCAGUCACCAUGGACCAAACCCUGCGCUCCAGACAACCCAGGCUGUUUCCCUGGAUUGCAAAGGGGACUUUAGCUUGGGGAAUCG